ensembl:lncRNA
GUUAGGUAAGGCUGACUCUUUGGUUGUAUAUCUGUUAUAGAUGGUCUACAGUAUAAUUGCUAUGAUUAUUACAUAUACAGUUUAAUCUUUUUUUGUGGCAUUAAAGUUGUUAAAGGUGUUGUAUAGAGAUAAGGACACAAAUAACACAUGACACUCAGUACUGUUGCUAUGGGAGAGUUUCUCAGAUAUUUGAGCAUCAACCGGACCUCGACACUGAUAUGUUGCAUCUGUAUUUUCCUGGAAGCAGGUGGGAACAGCAUCUCCUUGGCAGCUGGGAGCAGAGUGACCCUGCACUGUAGCAAUAACUCAAUCAGCGACCUCCUUCAACUGAGAUGGGGAAGGAAUGGGACUCAUCUGUUUAGUUUCAAGGCACAGAAAACCUCAAACAACAGCUCUGUGACCUUAAGCAGUAAUCGGAACAUGUCAGACAGCAGAAUAAUAAGGUCUCAUGCAGCUGCCAUCCUGAAUCUAAGCAUGUCAACCUUAGAAAGCCAACUGUAUGCACUAAUCAUAGAGGGAGCCCAGAAAUAUCACGAAGGAAACUACACUUGUGAAAUGACCACAGACUCAGGAGUCUUCGAACAGAAAUGGGAGCUCAUAAUUACAGAGGAAGCUGAAUCAUGUAAAAUCCAUGAUGCCACAGCAGUUAUUGUACGUUGUGUGUGUUUCCUGGUUAUUACAAUUACUGCUUUGGCCAUUAUGAGAAAAGUCUGCAAAUAACGAUCAAAAAACAUCAUCAGAUCUCUCAGUGCAAGAUUGUCUGUUGAGAAUUUAUGACUUUAAUACAAUUAAUAUUAGACAAUAGGAUAUACAGUUCAGUCCACAACUUUGCCUUGUACUCCAUCCACAGUGGAUUUUUAAAUUAAAUAUUUGGUAUGUGAUUGAAGUGCAGACUUUCAGCUUUAAUAAUAAGAAGUUCAUCAAAAGUAUUACAACUGUUUAUCUAUUUUUAUAUAUACAUAGGCCUCCAUUUUUUAUUUUUACCAACUUUUGCAUUUUUACUAAGUCCUUGGGGGACAAUGAAUAGUCAAAGCCAUGGACAUCCCCAAAUGUCGCAUUGCCUCCAUUGAGAUGCUCUGCUAGGCCUUUGUUGCAGCGUUCAGUUGCAGUUGUUUGUGGGUCUUUCUGCUUUCAAUUUUGUCUUUGGUAACUAAAAGGUGCUCUGCUGGACCCAGAUGUGGUGACUGGCUUGGUAAGUAUCACACAUAACAGAAUGCCUGAUGUUGGCCAAUGCCCAUUUUCUUUGUCUAGAGAAACUCGUGAUUUGUUUUGACAGUAUGGGUGGAGUAAAUGCCCUGCAUCUAGCUCAGUGGGAGUAGAGAGUAACACCCUCUACAGAUCUGGAAUCUGUUUCAUAUGUUAUGAAACAAUAAGGGUACAGUCCUCAGCGGGCCAUGAAACCACUGACUGUAAUUCCUAAACAACUAAUGCAAUACUUUUGUAAAACACCUUGAUCAAAAGCUGAAAAACUGCACUUUAAUCGCAUCUUAAUCAUUUGAUUUAAAAUCUGGUGUGGUUGUGUACAGAGGCAAAAUUACAAAAAACAAAAAUGUGUCCAAAACCGUAUGGUUCUCCCUGCAGGCUAGUAUGAAAUCAAUCUGAACUACUAUAUCGUCCACUUUAGGAAAGGAUAAUGAAAUUUACUGAGCCUGAAGACACUGAUUUUUCUUCUGUAGGAGGUGCAGAGAAGAUCUUUAUGAAAACUCCUGGGAAAUUGAAACUUGGUCAGAUUCAGUUCGACUCUUACAAAUACAGGGCUGAAUGACCUAAAUUUUCAUGGUUCUGGGUCAUUUUGACCCAGUGUUUUUAAAUUCUU